rnacentral:rRNA from 1 species
UACGUACCGUACGAACGUUAUUCGGAAUUACUGGGCUUAAAGGGUUUGUAGGCGGCUUUGUAAGUCAGGUGUGAAAUCCCUCGGCUCAACCGAGGAAUGGCGCUUGAUACUGCAAGGCUUGAGGGAGACAGGGGUAAGCGGAACUGAUGGUGGAGCGGUGAAAUGCGUUGAUAUCAUCAGGAACACCGGUGGCGAAAGCGGCUUACUGGGUCUCUUCUGACGCUGAGGAACGAAAGCUAGGGUAGCGAACGGG